rnacentral:rRNA from 1 species
GACAGAGGGUGCAAACGUUGCUCGGAAUUACUGGGCGUAAAGCGCGUGUAGGCGGACCAACAAGUCAGGCGUGAAAUCCCUGGGCUCAACCCAGGAACUGCACCUGAAACUGUCGGUCUUGAGUGGUGGAGAGGGAAGCAGAAUUCCUGGUGUAGAGGUGAAAUUCGUGGAUACCAGGAGGAACACCGGUGGCGAAGGCGGCUUCCUGGACACUAACUGACGCUGAGACGCGAAAGCGUGGGGAGCAAACAGG